rnacentral:misc_RNA from 1 species
AGGCUUCUUACUACACUUGAGCCUUUUUUAUUUUUGUUUCUUUUUAUUCAGUUUUCGGUUGCUGAAAUCAUUUUUGAAGAAAAAUUUGAUGAUGGGUGGCAAAGCCGUUGGGUUAAAUCCGAUUGGAAAAGAAGUGAAGGCAAGGCUGGCUCCUUCAAACACACAGCUGGGAAAUGGUCUGGAGAUCCAGAUGAUAAAGGUAUUCAGACGACUGGUGAUGCCAAACACUAUGCAAUAUCUGCUAAGAUUCCAGAGUUCAGUAACAAGAACAGAACACUGGUCCUCCAAUAUUCAAUAAGGUUUGAGCAAGAUAUUGAGUGUGGUGGUGGUUACAUAAAGCUUCUCUCUGGGUUUGUAAAUCAGAAGAAAUUCGGGGGAGACACCCCAUACAGUUUAAUGUUCGGACCAGAUUUAUGUGGCACACAAACAAAGAAGUUGCAUGUCAUACUCUCGUACCAAGGCCAAAAUUAUCCCUUAAAGAAGGAAUUGGAAUGUGAAACGGACAAAUUGACUCAUUUCUACACAUUUGUUCUAAGGCCUGAUGCAAGUUAUAGCAUCCUGAUUGAUGGCCGAGAAAGGGAUUCUGGAAGCAUGUAUGUGGAUUGGGAUAUUCUUCCUCCACGAAAAAUUAGAGAAGUCAAGGCCAAAAAGCCUAAGGACUGGGAUGAUAGGGAGUACAUUGAUGAUCCUAAUGCUGUCAAACCUGAGGGAUAUGAUAAAAUUCCAAAAGAAAUUCCUGAUCCAAGUGCUAAAGAGCCUGAUGAUUGGGAUGAUGAAGAAAAUGGUAUAUGGAAACCACCAAUGGUACCAAAUCCAGCAUAUAAAGGACCAUGGAGGCCCAAGAGAAUCAAGAACCCGAAUUACAAGGGAAAAUGGAAGAUUCCUUAUAUUGAUAAUCCAGAGUUUGAAGAUGAUCCUGAUCUUUAU